rnacentral:rRNA from 1 species
UACGUAGGAUGCAAGCGUUGUCCGGAAUUAUUGGGCGUAAAGGGCGAGCAGGCGGACUGCCAAGUCAGACGUGAAACUCCCUGGCUUAACCAGGGACGGUCGUCUGAGACUGCCAGACUAGAGUGCAGGAGAGGAAAGCGGAAUUCCCGGUGUAGUGGUGAAAUGCGUAGAUAUCGGGAGGAACACCAGAGGCGAAGGCGGCUUUCUGGCCUGUAACUGACGCUGAGGCGCGAAGGCUGGGGGAGCGAACAGG